rnacentral:rRNA from 1 species
UGGGGAAUAUUGGACAAUGGGCGCAAGCCUGAUCCAGCCAUACCGCGUGAGUGAAGAAGGCCUUCGGGUUGUAAAGCUCUUUCAGACGGAAAGAAACGGUUACGGCUAAUACCCGUGACUAAUGACGGUACCGUAAGAAGAAGCACCGGCUAACUACGUGCCAGCAGCCGCGGUAAUACGUAGGGUGCGAGCGUUAAUCGGAAUUACUGGGCGUAAAGCGUGCGCAGGCGGUUUGGUAAGACAGAUGUGAAAUCCCCGGGCUUAACCUGGGAACUGCAUUUGUGACUGCCAGACUAGAGUGUAGCAGAGGGGGGUAGAAUUCCACGUGUAGCAGUGAAAUGCGUAGAUAUGUGGAGGAAUACCGAUGGCGAAGGCAGCCCCCUGGGCUAACACUGACGCUCAUGCACGAAAGCGUGGGGAGCAAACAGGAUUAGAUACCCCCGUAGUCCCUGAGCGGGCUGGCAAGGCGCAU